rnacentral:tRNA from 1 species
AGCGGGGUGGAGCAGUUGGUAGCUCGUCAGCCUCAUAAGCUGAAGGUCGCUGGUUCAAAUCCGGCCCCCGCUACCA